rnacentral:rRNA from 1 species
AACGAACGCUGGCGACAUGCCUAACACAUGCAAGUCGAACGAGACCUUCGGGCCUAGUGGCGCACGGGUGCGUAACGCGUGGGAACCUGCCUUUAGGUUCGGAAUAACUCAGAGAAAUGUGAGCUAAUACCGGAUGAUGUCUUCGGACCAAAGAUUUAUCGCCUUUAGAUGGGCCCGCGUUGGAUUAGCUAGUUGGUGGGGUAAAGGCCUACCAAGGCGACGAUCCAUAGCUGGUCUGAGAGGAUGAUCAGCCACACUGGGACUGAGACACGGCCCAGACUCCUACGGGAGGCAGCAGUGGGGAAUAUUGGACAAUGGGCGAAAGCCUGAUCCAGCAAUGCCGCGUGAGUGAUGAAGGCCUUAGGGUUGUAAAGCUCUUUUACCCGAGAUGAUAAUGACAGUAUCGGGAGAAUAAGCUCCGGCUAACUCCGUG